GAUGCCAGGGGCAAAAGGUCUAAAACCACAUGAGCUUGCUCAUAAGUGGGUAAAAGACCUUGGGCCCCGCCCCGAUAUGAGCAUAAAAGUGGGAUGAUAAUCCCACGAUAUGCGAAUAUUGGGGCGGAUUGUGAGAGUGCAUAGCACGGAACAAUCCGUAGGCAUC
rnacentral:sRNA from 1 species